AGGUCCAUCCUGCUGGUAACUUCGUUCUGCACAUUUUCUAUGUGUGUAAGGAGAUUGAGCUGCCACUGAAGAUAUGAAGUUGAUAUUAAAUCACAGAGGAUUGCACUUACUCGGAUUUUUCAUCAACUGCUAACCUACUAAUGUUGCUCAUUAAGCAAGGCAAGCUCUAGCACUAGGAGCAGAUUCAAAAAGAGUAAGACAGCGUUCUGAGGAACUGGUGCAGGAAGAGCUCCUCCACACCUUCAGCGUUCCUGCCCACCCAGGAGAAGAAACACCAUUAAGGACAUGUCAUGGGACCAAUUCACCACAUGCCUAUUAUUUGAGAAAACCUAGUUAUUUCCUGCCUGGAGGCUGAAGUUAAAUUCAAUAUGCAGAAUAUGCUAUCUGAAGAUCCUCUAGCAUAGAAGAAGGCACCAAGUAGACAGCAUGGUGGAUUGAGAGUCAAAAGGCAUAGAUUUCAUCUCAGUCUGCCUCAUCAGUAAAAUAAAGGCAUCACAGGUAGUGUUCUAAGACCCCACCUGCUCUACAAUGAGUCGAAUAUGCAGAACUGCCAGGUCAGUAGCAUGCAAGUUCAUAAUGCAGAUCUACUCCGAUUGCCACAAAUAAGCCUAGCUAGAAAUGGAUACAGAGGAACAGACAGAGGCUAAUUAAUUCUUCUCCAGGAAAAAGUCACACCUCUUCCCUUCCAGUAGGAUAGUAAUUUUGUUGAUAAAUAUAUGCUAAUGUAUUUGUCUAAGUAAUCAAUGUGGAAAAUAAAAAUGUAACAGUGAAAAAAUAUUUUAAAAUUUUA
rnacentral:antisense_RNA from 1 species